rnacentral:misc_RNA from 1 species
AACGCACAUUGCGCCCCUUGGUAUUCCAUGGGGCAUGCCUGUUCGAGCGUCAUUUGAACCCUCAAGCUCUGCUUGGUGUUGGGUGUUUGUCCCGCCAUUGCGCGUGGGACUCGCCUUAAAGCAAUUGGCAGCCAUGUAAUCCGGCUUUGAGCGCAGCACAUUGCGUACUCUCUACUGGGACAUGGGCAUCCAGAAGCCUUAAUUUUUUACUCUUGACCUCGGAUCAGGUAGGGAUACCCGCUGAACUUAA